CUCGUAGCUUCCCCUUCCAGCCUUCUAAGUAUACAUCGUAUUACAGAUUGAGAGUUGGGUAGGGAUCACGGGACAAUAGAGGCGACAAAGUCAAUCGGUAGAAAGCACUUGUCAUAAGACCCAAAGAAAAAGAACUUGGAAUCAACUUACAGAAGAAAAAGUAUAAUAGAGAAAAAAAGCUCAAGCAGGAUGAAUACAGAGAGGCUUGGAGAGACUUACAUGAACUGAUGCUAAGUGAAAUGAGCAGAACCAGAAGAUCAUUAUACACUUAAACAACAAUACUGUAUGAAGAUGUAUUCUGAUGGAAGUGGCUAUCUUCAGCAAUGAAAGAAUCUAAUUUAAUUCCAAUUGAUCAUUGAUAAACAGAACUAGCAAAAGAACACUGGGAAAUGAGUGUGGACUGCUUGCAUUUUUGUUUUUCUUCCCAGGUUAUUUUUACCUUUCUAUAUCUGAUUUUUCUUGUGCAACAAGAGAACUGUAUAAAUAUGUACACAUAUAUUGUAUUUAAGAUAUACUUUAACAUGUUUAACAUGUAUAAGACUACCUGCCACUAGAGGAGGGGGUGAAGGGAAGGAAGGGAAAAGUUGGAACAGAAGUGACUGCAAGAGUCAAUAUUGAAAAAUUACUCAUGCAUAUGUUCUGUUAAUAAAAAGAUAUUAACUUUGAUCAUCCUUCUCCCCCAGUUUUUCUUUCUCCCCUCUCCCCCCAAGGCAAUUGGAAUUAAGUGACUUGCUUAGGAUUACAUAGUUUAUAAAUAUUAAAUUCUGAUUUCAGGUCUUCCUGGCUCCUGGGCCAGUGCUCUAUCCAUUGUACUACCUAGCCACCCUACCCUAAUUUUCUUAAUAAAUUUCUCUAUUUCCCUUCCA